GUGGCUCAGUGGUAGAGUGCUUGCCUUGCAUGCAAGAGGCCCGAGUUCAGUUCCUCAGC
rnacentral:tRNA from 1 species